CCCGCUGAACUUAAGCAUAUCAGUAAGCGCAGGAAUAGAAACUAACAAGGAUUUCCUCAGUAGCGGCGAGUGAAGAGGAAACAGCCCAAGUUGUUAAUCUAAUAUAAAGUAUUAGAAUUGUAAUCUAUAGGAUAUCUCAGAAGAAAUUAAUACGCUAUAAGUUGCUUGGAACAGCAUGCCAAAGAUGGUGAAAGCCCAGUCUUAGAGUGUAUUAAUUCGUAUGAGGUGUUUCUAAGAGUCGGGUAGUUUGGGAAUGCUGCCCUAAUUGCGAGAUAAACUUCUUGCAAGGCUAAAUAUUUAUAAGAGACCGAUAGCAUACAAGUACUGCGAAGGAAAGAUGAAAAGAACUUUGAAAAGAGGGUUAAAAGACUUGAAAUCGUUGAAAAGGAAGGGAUAAAAGAGUAAUUAUUUGGUAUAAAACUCGUUACAUAUCUAAGCUAGCGGCUGAAGUACUUAACAGGACGUAAGCUGUAAGUGAAAAUAUGUGGCUGUUUAUGCUUAAUGGACAAAAUGAGAUCACACUGUAAGAAUAAGGUGAAAGGUGCAUUCCUUAACUAGAAAUUACAGAGUGGUCUGAGGGUUCUUAGGAAGAUUUUGUCAAAAUGGCUUUUAUCCACCCGUCUUGAAACACGG
rnacentral:rRNA from 1 species